AGCAGCCGCGGUAAUUCCAGCUCCAAUAGCGUAUAUUAAAGUUGUUGCAGUUAAAAAGCUCGUAGUUGAAUUUCGGGGUUCUACCGUUGGUCGGGCUAACCAGUCUGUACUAGCGUGUAAAAUUCCUACCUUCUGGAGAACCAUCAUGUUAUUAAUUUAGCGUGGUGGGGAACCAGGACCUUUACCUUGAAAAAAUUAGAGUGUUCAAAGCAGGCUUACGUCUGAAUACAUUAGCAUGGAAUAAUAGAAUAGGACGGUGGUCCUGUUUUGUUGGUUUCUGAAUCACCGUAAUGAUUAAUAGGGAUAGUUGGGGGCAUUAGUAUUCAAUUGUCAGAGGUGAAAUUCUUGGAUUUAUUGAAGACUAACUUCUGCGAAAGCAUUUGCCAAGGAUGUUUUCAUUAAUCAAAGAACGAAAGUUAGGGAUCGAAGACGAUCAGAUACCGUCGUAGUCUUAACCAUAAACUAUGCCGACUAGGGAUCGGACGAUGUUAAAUUUAUUGACUCGGUUCGCGCCUUACGG
rnacentral:rRNA from 1 species